rnacentral:rRNA from 1 species
GACAGAGGUGCCAAGCGUUAGGCGGAAUCACUGGGCUUAAAGCGUGUGUAGGCGGAUGCCUAAGUACCUUGUGAAAUCCCCCGGCUCAACCGGGGAACUGCUGGGUAUACUGGGUGUCUUGGGUCAUCUAGGGGCUGCCGGAACAAAUGGUGGAGCGGUGAAAUGCGUAGAUAUCAUUUGGAACGCCAACGGCGAAAACAGCUCGCUGGGGCUGCGCUGACGCUGAGACACGAAAGCCAGGGGAGCGAACGGG